AGUCGCCGCGGUAAGACAGAGGAUGCAAGCGUUAUCCGGAUUUAUUGGGUUUAAAGGGUCCGUAGGCGGACUUAUAAGUCAGUGGUGAAAGCCUGUCGCUUAACGAUAGAACUGCCAUUGAUACUGUAAGUCUUGAGUAUAUUUGAGGUAGCUGGAAUAAGUAGUGUAGCGGUGAAAUGCAUAGAUAUUACUUAGAACACCAAUUGCGAAGGCAGGUUACCAAGAUAUAACUGACGCUGAGGGACGAAAGCGUGGGUAGCGAACAGGAUUAGAUACCCCCGUAGUCCAUGUCUCUUAUACA
rnacentral:rRNA from 1 species